AAAUGUAAUAGAUCCAAUGAAGGUAAGGUAGAACUGAGAAUAUAACGU
rnacentral:guide_RNA from 1 species